rnacentral:rRNA from 1 species
GACGAACGCUGGCGGCGUGCUUAACACAUGCAAGUCGAACGGAAAGGCCCGGCGUUUGUGGGGUGCUCGAGUGGCGAAAAGGUGAGUAACACGUGAGUAACCUGCGCUUGACUGUGGGAUAACUUCAGGGAACUGGAGCGAAUACCGGGUAGGAGCUCCUGCUGCAUGGGGUGGUUUGGAAAGAUUCGGCGGUUGGGGAUGGACUCGCGGCUUAUCCGCUUGUUGGUGGGGUAGUGGCUUACCAAGGCAUUGACGGGUAGCCGGCCUGAGAGGGUGACCGGCCACAUUGGGCCUGGGAUGCGGCCCGGACUCCUCCGGGAGGCAGCAGCGGGGAAUAUUGCACGAUGGGCGGCAGCCUGAUGCAGCAACGCCGCGUGCGGGAUGACGGCCUUCGGGUUGUAAACCGUUUUCGCCUGUGACGAAGCGUGAGUGACGGUAAUGGGUAAAGAAGCACCGGCUAACUACGUG